AAUUUUCAGAAUUUUCAGCCAAUCAGAAAACAGCACUGAAAAACAUUAAGACAUUUGUGAGCAAAUUGAAUAUUUAAAAGCUACGAGCAAACCAACAGGAGUUGCUAGAAAUAACAGUCAAAACAUUGCUUAUAACAGACAUUUAUUUGU